rnacentral:misc_RNA from 1 species
GAUGAAGAACGUAGCGAAAUGCGAUAAGUAGUGUGAAUUGCAGAAUUCAGUGAAUCAUCGAAUCUUUGAACGCACAUUGCGCCCCUUGGUAUUCCAUGGGGCAUGCCUGUUCGAGCGUCAUUUGUACCUUCAAGCUUUGCUUGGUGUUGGGUGUUUGUCUCGCCUUUGCGUGUAGACUCGCCUUAAAAUAAUUGGCAGCCGGCGUAUUGAUUUCGGAGCGCAGUACAUCUCGCGCUUUGCACUCAUAACGACAGCGUCCAAAAGUACAUUUUACACUCUUGAACUCGGAUCAGGUAGGGAUACCCGCUGAACUUAAGCAUACCAAUAAGCGGAGGA